rnacentral:lncRNA from 1 species
AGUUAGGGUUUGACUGCUGUGAACAGACACCAUGACCAAAGCAACUCUUAUAAGGACAACAUUUAAUUGGGGCUGGCUUCCAGGCUCAGAGGUUCAGUCCAUUAUCAUCAAGGUAGGAACAUGGCAGCAUCCAGGCAGGCAUGGUGCAGGAGGAGCUGAGGGUUCAUCAUCUUUAUCUGAAGGCUGCUAGCAGAGUAUUUACUUCCAGGUAGCUAGUUUGGGGGUUGUAAAGCCCAUGCCCACAGUGACACACCUACUCCAACAAGGUCACACCCACUCUAACUGGGCCACACCCACUCUAAUAAGGCCACACCCACACCAACAAGGCCACACAUUCCAAAUAGUGUCACUCCCUGAGUGGAGCAUAUACAAACCAUCACAACCUCUGUUACCACCAUCACCAUCAUCACAACCUUUACCACUGUCCCCAUCAUUACCACCUCCACCACUGCUACCACCCCACCAUCACCUCCACCCUCCUCACUGUGGCCUCUAUUACUAUGACCUCUAUUAAUGCUCCCUACAACUCUAGCAUUGCCCUCACCUCAACGUCCACAAUGGUCUCCAGCACCAUUAUCGUCAUCAUCACAACCUCUGCCACCGUCACCACCACCACUGUUACCACUGUACCACAUCCACCGUUCACCACUACCCCAUCACCAUUUCCAUCUCAGUGUCGGCAAACACAGUUCCUCCCACUUGGCCCUCAUCUUUCCAGGCCAGAAGUCCCUGACAGUCUUCUUUCUUGGUUUCUUUGCUCUGAGGCAAAGAAAAAGAGUCUUCCCUUCUCCCCAGGAUGGGAGCAGAGGGCAUGGUAAGCCGCAGAACUGGGACGCACAGCAGACCUGCCUGAAUCAAGCGGCUUUGGAUUUUCAUCCCUCUGCUCUCCUUCCACGCAAGUGUCACCCUGCGUGGUGUGGGCGUGGGCACUGGGGCGAGGGGAACCUCACAGUGGAAGUUCUCUGCUCCUGCUUCUGUGUCUCUCAGCAGGGAGAAGAAGGCUGACCUCCUGAGAUGGUUCUGAGAAGGCUGAAAAGAACACGCACGCAUGCAAGCACACCCUUACACAGAAGCACUCAAGGACUGAAUCCUGCCAACAACCAUGUUCAGUUGGAUGUGGAUAUCCUCCGAGCCUUCAGAAAAGACCCUAUCUCCUGAUCUGCGGCCUGUGAGAGACCCCGAGUCAGCUCCGGGUGGAACCGUGCCCAGACUUCAGAGACCAUCUGAGAAGAACGGUGCUUUCCGCUGCCAGGUUUGGACUGAACUGCUGAGAAAGAAGAUUGAGCUUGCUCCCAAAGAACGACUGCUAAACAGUGCCUGCUCUGGAAUAUGUGACUAUGACAUUCCGAUGAGGACCAUGGCAGACAGUCAUGUAAGGAAACAGCUGGAGUCCUUCCCCGUGCAGAUAAAGCAUCGCUUACAUCUCAAACUGAGCCAAUAGGAAACACUU